rnacentral:tRNA from 1 species
UGGAUAGCUCAGUUGGUUAGAGUAUGGCACUGCUAACACCAAGGUUGCAGGUUCGAUCCCCUUAUGGGACAG